ACUGUUUAGGAGCUCGUUGAAGUCUGACAUGUCGGGAGUAAUGAUGAGUGCCAUGUGUUUGUGUGCAUAAUCCGUCUGCCGUUCCAAAAUUGUGUUUUAAAUGUGCAGCAGUCGUAGCGGAAAUGGAUACCCUGUAGGGAAGACACGGUGGAAGCAUUUUGAACACGGAAGUACUUACAUCCAUUGCAUGGGCUGGCUUUGGCUUGUAUGGGUGUUCUUGCGCAAUAUCGGGCCUCAAGUUUUCAUUUAGCUAUCAAUUAUUGCGAACCAUAGGCGUGCGCACGAGGGGGGCGCAUUGCCCCCCCCCCAUCUAUUGCAAGACCCUGUGCAUGACUAUGGCUGAAACAGUCUGCCACUUUUACCAGCGUACAUGUAUUCUUUUCUGCAUAUGAAUGGCAAAACGGAUUUCGAGCAUAUCUGCAGCGCUAUUUUGUAUUGCUCCCCAUUGCAGGCGUGCAACGCGGAAUUCCGCAUUCUUGUUGGGGACCCCCGGUUCCCUGGUUCGUGCCACGACUUUUGGGUGUGGCAGCAUAACCCACUGAAUGCACGCCUAGCCACACAACUGCAGCCUGGCGAGUAUCUGCUUGGAGACUCAGGAUAUCCCCUCGAGCCAUGGCUGCUUGUUCCAGUACCUGGCAGCCAUGCCGGCACCACCUCUGAAGGCCACUACAACCGUGAGCACGCAUCCAUGCGCAAUGCUGUGGAUAGAUGUAUCGGGGUAUUGAAAGCAAGUUCCGCUGCUUGCAGCACUUUCGGGCACUGCUAUACAGCCCCGAUAGAGCAGCCCGAAUCAUUUAUACAUGCGUUGCUCUCCAUAACAUUGCCUUGGACGCGGGCGACUGGGCAUUGGACGAUUAUGGUGGGGAAGUGCCACCAGCUGACGAGCCAGAGGGGACAGGAGACAUCCAGGUGCUGGCACCGCACGACGUGUUCCUCAGAGGAAGGCAGCAGUGCAGCGCCGUUGUCAUGUAUUAGGUUGACCUGUAUAUGUACUUUUGUGUAUUGGACCAGCUACUAGCCACAUAGGCUAUUGGUCGAACAAUUUUUGUACACAUUACUUGCCCUGUUUAAAUAAAGCUCACUUUUUUAUUG